GGAGGACAUCGUCAAAUGUUGCGGAGACACCUGUCGGGAGACGUUUCACUACUGCACGACUGCGCAUGCGCGGAGGACUCAACUACUUCCUGGUUGUACAAACGAAAAGGCAAGAUGAGACGUAUCUAAACCUUCCUGACACUUUAAGUGCUGGAGCAUCAAAGUUUGAAGACCAUCACAGAUGUGCUGCCAGCAGGAGUUCAGCGGUGCACAGCUGUGACAUGUUUUUGUGUCUAACAAAAACCAUCAUCUUAAACAGUUGCUAAUGUCUUGCAUGUCUUGGCUUUUGAAUAAUUUGAAUUUAUCCAAUGAAGGAAAUUCAACUUGUACUGGUUUGGUAAUAGAUGAGAGCUUUUUAGUGGUGAAGUAGGUUGAAAUAUGGAAGAAACCUGCUCUGACUUGGGUAGACACAUAUGAGAAUGUUUGCUUGUAUACGAGUCUGAGUGAGACAAAAGGGAGGUUUAUGCAAUUAGCUUGAGGGCCUUUUUGGCCGUUAUAAAGGGAUGAGUCAUUUCAAUCAUCCUGGCCUGUGAACUUGGCUCCAAAACGGAUUACCGGUAUGAAUUAAAUAUAGACACCUGUGUUACUGUGAAUAAACGUCAUCAGCAUAUCUUCUCAUAA